AUCUGGUUGAUCCUGCCAGUCUCAAAGAUUAUGCUAAGGACGUGUAAGUACACCCAGCUGCUAUAGUGAAAUUGUGAAUGGAUCAUUAAAUAAAUUAUGGUUCCUUUGAUUGCUCUAUUUGUUACUUGGAUAACUGUCAUUAUCUAAAUAACUGUAGCUAAUACAUGCUGAUGAGCGCUGACCUCCCAGGAAGAGUGCAUUUAUCAGACCAAGACAAAUGCGGGCUCGCCCAGCUGCUUUGGUGACUCUAGAUAACCUCAUGCUGAUGGCACCUACCCAGGACGGCGAAGAUACAUUCGGAUGUCUACCCUUUCAACUUUCGAUGAUACUUUCUGUGCCUACCAUGGUGACCAUGGGUAAAGGAGAAUACGGGCUGAUUCCAGAGACGGAGCCUGAGAAAUGGAUACCACAUCCAAGGAAGGCAGCAGAUGCACAAAUUCCCCACUCCCAACUUGAGGAGGUAGUGAUGAUAAAUAACAAUACAGGAUCCUUUCGAGGUCCUGAAACUGGAAUGAGUACACAUUAAAUCCUUUAAUGAGGAUCCAUUGGAGGGCAAGUCUGAUGCCAGCAGCCAUGGCAAUUCCAGCUCCGAUAGCACAUAUUAAAGUUGCUGCACUUUAAAAGCUUGUAGUUGGAUUUUGAGAUCAAGCGGGAAGUCCGCCGCCAGACGACCUACCACUUGUCCCAGUCCCUGACUCUGCACCCCCUUGAUGCUCUAGACAGAGUGACCUGGGGGUCCGAAGCAUUUACUUUGAAAAAGUUAGAGUGUUCAAAGCAGGCCGGUCACCUGAAUGCUUCAGCUAGGAAUAAUGGAAUAGGACUUUGAUUCUAUUUUGUUGGUUUUUCGGAACUGGUGCCAUGAUUCAGAGGGACAGACGGGGGCAUUUGUAUUGUGCAGCUAGAGUUGAAAUUCUUGGACCGGCGCAAGAUGAACCAAAGCAAAAAUCAUUUGCCAAGAAUCUUUUCAUCAAUUAAGAGUGAAAGUUCUUGGUCUGGACAGGGAACGGAUUAACAGAUUGAUAGCUCUUUCUCGAUUCUGUGGGUGUUGGUGCAUGGCCGUUCUUAGUUGGUGGAGCAAUUUGUCUGGUUAAUUCCUAUAAUGAAUGAGACUCCUCCAUGGUAAGAAGUGACGUGACCUCCAGUGAUUGGCAUUUCGACUUGUUAGAGGGACACAUGUCAUUCAGCCAAAUGAGAUCGAACAAUAACAGGUCUCUGAUGCACUUAGAUGUUUGGGGCUGCAUGCACGGUACACUAGAUCAGCGUGUGUAUAGCCCUUACUGACAGGUGCGGGAACCCACUGAAUCCUGUUCGACAUAGGGAUUGGGGAUUUCCAUUAUUUCCCAUGAACAAGGAAAUCCCAGUAAGUGCGGGUCAUAAGCUUGUGUUGAUUAAGUCCCUGCCCUCUAUACUCAUCGAAUGUCGCUACUAGCGACUGGAUGGUUUAGUGAGGUUGUUAGAUCACCCACCCUCUGGCUUCAGCAACAGCCCUGGUGAAGCACCGAGAAGAUGAUCAAACCUGACUAUCUAGAGGAAGUAAAAGCCAUAGCAAUGUUAACGUCAGUGAACUUGUGCAAG
rnacentral:rRNA from 1 species